rnacentral:lncRNA from 1 species
UGUACCUUACUCUUUUUGUAGUCUUGUUUUGUGUUCCUUCAGGUGUUCUUGGUUAUCAGACAAACAAACAAGGAUAAUUAUUAGUGAUUUGUUGCAAGCAAUACCCAAGUGUUUUUUAAUUAUCAAAAACUCGAUACUCGUCUAAAAAAGAGCUUAUUUGCGGAUUAGGCGAUAAUGAGCCAUUUCUGACUUAUGAACGUCCUUGGUUAUUUAUAUAGUUUUGCAAGGUUUCGUCCACACAAUUUUAAAAAAAAGAUAUAUUUUAUUCAGAUUUAAAAAGUUACUCGUACAAGCGAGGAUAUGCUUAAUUCGAACUGGUUAAGAAUAUUUAUGUGAAUCUUAUAAUUGGAGAAGGAAAAGUGAGUGCAUUCGACGUGAAAAAAUUAACUCAUCCUCUGAAGUAGUACGAUUUGCUUAGAGAAGUUGCAACUUGUCCAAGAAGAUUGUACCAGUUAAUUAACGACAUCUUCAAAUUCUUCCACUCAAGAAGUCGUUUACAAAAAUAUCGUUUUAGCUGCAACAGAACUCUAGCUACGUGUGGAUGCAAGCCCAAAACGGAAAAAUAUAGUUUUUUCCCGAGAAAACGUUUUGUGUUGAAGGCCAUAGUUUAAGCAUAAAUUAUAUCUAUUAGAGAUAAUAAUCUCUGAUCAUUGCCAUACCUGUUACUACAGAGGAGGUAUGGAGAAUUUGAAGCAAAUACAUAAACAUGAAUUAUUA